UCCGAUGUGGUGUAUCGGUAACAUAUCCACCUCUCAUUGGUCUGCUCUCAGUAUAUGACGCGGUUGCGCGGGGUUCGAUUCCCCGCAUCGGAA